GAAAAGUUUCCUUACUCGCUCCUCUGCUGUUAUUUAAAGAGAACUUCAGCUUCCUGCCUUCUAGACUCUUGCUCUCUCUAGAUGGGUGUGGCUUUUAGUGUGGUUUUUUUUUUUCCCUCCACCAGACAAAGUUGUGCAAGUGAUGUGGAGCUGACCGAGGAGUCCACACCCUUCAACUUAAAGAGCAGUGGGAGGAGGUGGAGCGAUAACAACAACAACAAAAAAGCUUGGAGCCGUCUGCGCGCCGGGAACAUUGUGGAAGGGCUUCUGUUGGUAAAGCAUGAGUGUCUGUUGCCUUUUUUGGGACGUCUCCUCGUACCACCGUCUUCAUGCCUCUGGUUCAUUUGAUAAACUAUCCCAGGGUUAUAGAGGUGUGGACGGAUGUUGGCUGGAGGUUGCUGUCUGCCGAGCAGGAUUGUGGGAGGAGGCCGGUUUAGUCGGAGGGAUUCCUGGCAGAGUGAUUUGUUUUUUUGAUGUAAUGAAAAUCACAUUGCCAGGGAUUUCCAACCGGUUACAACUGAAAUGCACACGGCAAUCUCAACCGGAACAGAAUGCACUCAGCUGCCACUACAUUAGGUGCACCUCCACUGUAUCGAACAUAUUCCCUUUUUUUUUUUUUUUAACACAGAACAUUUAGGUGGGGAAUUUUGGUAUACAACAUAUUUAAUGUUAGGUACUUAAAAUGUUUAUUCUUGUAAAAUGGACAAGAGACAAUGUUGGCUCUAACAUGGGGUGGACAAACUUUGGAAAGAUGAUGAAAAUUAGUUUAUUUAAUGCUGUAGUAAUAAUACCUUGUAAAUUUAAAUUGUAAUUGUCAGGGAUCAUUUAUUUUGAAUUAGCAGCUUUUGGAGUUUUUGGAAUCACGUUCGUGCGCGAGGCUCGCUAAUCAACAUUACAGCGACAUUCCCAAACUGCUGCCUAUAAUUUAGGCAAUCCAUGACAAAGUUGUUGUUGAAAAUCUUAUAAUCUGCCACAUUGUAGCACAAACCAUCUGGAUGCCUCAAGAGUUUGGACGAGGCGCAGGACUUAGCUUGCUCCGUGAACAGUUCAGUAGAAAAUCCUGUGUUCACAGUGGCUAAGUUCCGCUUCUCGCGAGCCUUUCCAGCGUUUUGAAGUGCCGCUGUUGUAACAGCUGCAAAGAGUCAACGUGGGAUCAACUAUUAUGAAGUUAUGCGCUACCCGUUGCCCAGUCGACUGCUAUAGUAGUAGAACCCAAAAGCACUUGACUUUUUUUUCUUUAAUGUGUUAGUGGCAACUCUGUCAAAGCAUUGAAAAGUGUAGAUUAAAACUCUAACUGGUGCUAACUGUCAAGAUGGUGAAAGGGAUCUGUGGCUUUAAAAGUUUUAUUAAUUAAAAAAAAAAAAAAAAGAUCUAAAAGUA